AUUCAAUCAGGUUUUAGAUUUUGUAAAAUCAAAUCUAAAACUAAAGAAAAUACCCACCCUUUCAGUUCAAAGCAUGAACAGGUUGAAUAGACAUGGCUGAGGUAGUUUUAAGGUAGUGAGCAUCUGUAGUCCUAGGAGUAUACUGAAAGGCAGAGUUAAUAAUGUUUUUGGAGAAGGCACACAUGGAGUCUAUUAUGGUUCUGGCAGCACAGACAGUAGUGUCAAGGCCAGCUUGUUAACAGCUGCCUCAGGAAGAGCUACACAGCUGUCCUGACAGCACUGCAGUGUAGAUACAGAAUGCACACCUGGACUCAACCCAAAGAGCUGUGAGUUGUCCUUUUCCCUUCAAAUAAAGAAUUGUUCCACCGUAAAACCUCUUACAAUGGAUUUUUCUACAUCUUUGGUCAUAAUGAGGUGCAACAAGACUAAAAACAAAGCAGAAAACCUUUGUGGGCCUGAUAUUGCUCCCUUCAAGCCUGAUUUUGAUGCAACUCUGCCACUGACUUCAGCUGGGCUACAUCAGGAGCCGAGGAUCUCUUGACCCAAAACCACAAUCCUGCUGGCAGCUGCUACUACCGGAGGUAAGACGUCUUCAAGGCAUGACAUCAAGGAGUACUGCAGAAAAUAGAAGCAAAUCCUAAAGGCUGCCUGUGUCUAUAUAAUAUGUUUAUUUAAUUGAUACGCUCUCAGCUUUCCUUAAUAGAAAUUGUCAGAAGCAUCCAACAGACAAGAGUUCUGCCAGUCUCUU
ensembl:lncRNA